GACGUAGGGCGCGAGCGUUGUCCGGAUUUAUUGGGCGUAAAGAGCUCGUAGGCGGCUUGUCGCGUCGACUGUGAAAUCCCGCGGCUCAACUGCGGGUCUGCAGUCGAUACGGGCAGGCUAGAGUUCGGUAGGGGAGACUGGAAUUCCUGGUGUAGCGGUGAAAUGCGUAGAUAUCAAGAGGAACACCUGAGGUGAAGACGGGUUGCUGGGCCGACACUGACGCUGAUGCGCGAAAGCCAGGGAGCAAACGGG
rnacentral:rRNA from 1 species